UGGGGAAUUUUGCGCAAUGGGGGAAACCCUGACGCAGCAACGCCGCGUGGAGGAUGAAGUCCCUUGGGACGUAAACUCCUUUCGAUCGGGACGAUAAUGACGGUACCGGAAGAAGAAGCCCCGGCUAACUUCGUGCCAGCAGCCGCGGUAAUACGAGGGGGGCAAGCGUUGUUCGGAAUUAUUGGGCGUAAAGGGCGCGUAGGCGGUGCGGUAAGAGUGUUGUGAAAUCUUCGGGCUCAACUCGAAGUCUGCAACGCUGACUGCCGUGCUUGAGUGUGGGAGAGGUGAGUGGAAUUCCUGGUGUAGCGGUGAAAUGCGUAGAUAUCAGGAGGAACACCUGUGGCGAAAGCGGCUCACUGGACCACAACUGACGCUGAUGCGCGAAAGCUAGGGGAGCAAACAG
rnacentral:rRNA from 1 species